rnacentral:rRNA from 1 species
UACGUAGGGUGCAAGCGUUGUCCGGAAUUAUUGGGCGUAAAGAGCUCGUAGGCGGUUCGUCACGUCGGCUGUGAAAUCCCGAGGCUCAACCUCGGGUCUGCAGUCGAUACGGGCGGACUUGAGUACUGCAGGGGAGACUGGAAUUCCUGGUGUAGCAGUGAAAUGCGUAGAUAUCAGGAGGAACACCGAUGGCGAAGGCAGGUCUCUGGGCUGACACUGACGCUCAUGCACGAAAGCGUGGGGAGCGAAACA